rnacentral:rRNA from 1 species
ACUCCUACGGGAGGCAGCAGUGGGGAAUAUUGCACAAUGGGGGAAACCCUGAUGCAGCGACGCCGCGUGAGUGAAGAAGUAUUUCGGUAUGUAAAGCUCUAUCAGCAGGGAAGAAAAACCGACCAUAGGGUCGCUAGACGGUACCUGAUUAAGAAGCCCCGGCUAACUACGUGCCAGCAGCCGCGGUAAUACGUAGGGGGCAAGCGUUAUCCGGAUUUACUGGGUGUAAAGGGAGCGUAGACGGCAGCGCAAGUCUGAAGUGAAAUGCCGGGGCUUAACCCCGGAACUGCUUUGGAAACUGAGCAGCUAGAGUGCAGGAGAGGCAGGCGGAAUUCCUAGUGUAGUGGUGAAAUGCGUAGAUAUUAGGAGAAACACCGGUGGCGAAGGCGGCCUGCUGGACUGUAACUGACGUUGAGGCUCGAAAGCGUGGGGAGCAAACAGGAUUAGAUACCCCUGUAGU